rnacentral:tRNA from 1 species
UCCAGCGUAGCUCAAUGGUAGAGCCCCCGGCUGUUAACCGGGUUGUUGUAGGUUCGAGCCCUACCGCUGGAGCCA